GUCCAGACUCCUACGGGAGGCAGCAGUGGGGAAUAUUGGGCAAUGGGCGCAAGCCUGACCCAGCAACGCCGCGUGAAGGAAGAAGGCUUUCGGGUUGUAAACUUCUUUUCUCAGGGACGAAGCAAGUGACGGUACCUGACUAAGAAGCCCCGGCUAACUACGUGCCAGCAGCCGCGGUAAUACGUAGGGGGCAAGCGUUAUCCGGAUUUACUGGGUGUAAAGGGAGCGUAGACGGCAAUACAAGUCGGAAGUGAAAUACCCGGGCUUAACCUGGGAACUGCUUUGGAAACUGUAUGGCUGGAGUGCUGGAGAGGUAAGCGGAAUUCCUAGUGUAGCGGUGAAAUGCGUAGAUAUUAGGAGGAACACCAGUGGCGAAGGCGGCCUGCUGGACUGCAACUGACGUUGAGGCUCGAAGGCGUGGGGAGCAAACAGGAUUAGAUACCCGAGUA
rnacentral:rRNA from 1 species